GUUCACUGCUAGUGCUUGUUCUUCGUGUUUUUUUAUUGUCUGUUCAGAAACCAAACCCUCUUCAUGCUUGUUCUUUGAUGAUUUGAACUCAUCAAAGUUCCCUGAAUUUAAGUUCUCCUUCGGAGGCACAUAUUCAAUUACCAGUGGAAUGAUAAACAAUCCUGCAUCACUUGGUAAACAUGCAUCUGCCUCUAGCUAAUUCAAUAUAAAUAGUGAAUUUAUUUAUUUUUUUAAUUCUUUACUAAUUCUUUUGUGCUAUAAGUGAUUUGUACAUAUCAUAGUAAAAUAAAAAAUAACAUUGGUUACAAUUGUUUAUUGAAAAUGUGCAAACUUAAGUCAUGAAAGUUGUUUGUAUCAUGUGAGAUCUCAAUGAAUAAGCAGCUUUGCAUUAUAUUCAAUGAUUAUUUGAACCUUCAGUGUUGUCUUCUUAUCUAUUUUUAUGCUAUUAAUUCAUCUCUACAUGUUGCUUGACGUAUUCUAAAAUCGAUCGAAAGGCACUGUUAUAUCAUGUCUUACCUAUUUGUCAAGUAUAUUAGUAUAUUUUGUAAUAUUAAUGUAUUUAUGUGAUUAAUUCCUAUAUUAAGGAGAUGGAUUCACCAUUAGUAUUACAAGGUUUGUUCAAUUUGUUUGAUCUUUUUUAAUUCUUUACAUUAGGAAAGAGAUGAAAGAUAUAUUCUUGGCUGAAUGACAUAGUUGUUAUGAGACAAAAAAUAGGUUGAGUUAUAUUUUAGGAUGUUUAUUUAUAAUUUAUUUAUUAUUCUAUUCUAAAACAAUUUUUUCGGUUGAACCAUUGGUUGGACCGGUUGGACCAAUGAACCAGUGAACCAAUGACUAGAGCGGUUUGAUGACCGGUCCGGUUUUCUGAACCUUG